AUUAAGUAUCUUGUUCCACCAUUUGUGUUACAGAUAAGCCUAAGGAAAAGAAACAACUUAGGGGAUAACAUACAGAAAGUGAAUAACCUAGUGAUUUAUUACCUUUGUUUAUGCUUUCUUCUUGGGAAAUGCCUUCCUUUCCUUGGCUUUAAGUAUCCACAGAUAAAAUUUUGCCUUUUUCCAGCAUCCCAUUCUAUGUAUCUCAACUGCCUACUUCACAUUUCAACAUUAUUUGUUUUGGAGUACCAGGGAUUGAACCCAGGGGCACUUACCACUGAGCCACAUCCCCACUUCUUUUUAUUUUUUGUUUUGAAACAGCAUCUCACUGAAUUGCUUAGGGUCUUACUAAAUUUCUGAAGCUGGCUUUGAACAUGCCAUCCUGCCUCAGCCUCCCCAGCCACUGGGAUUAUAGGCAUGCACCACACACCCAGCAUCCACUUUGAUUUCUAAUAGGUAUCUCAAACCCAGCAUAUCUAAAUCAUAACUCUUGAUACCCCACUGCCAACCCUAUCUGCUUCUUUAAUCUUUCACUUAAAUGUACCUGCUGCCCUUACCAACUUCCUUUUGUUUGGCACCUCUCCCAGUCUCUGAAAUCUAGUUCUACUAGUUGAUCGCACACCUUUGCACAUACUGUUACUGUGACCUGGAAUG
rnacentral:lncRNA from 1 species